rnacentral:rRNA from 1 species
GACGAACGUUGGCGGCGUGCCUAAUACAUGCAAGUCAACUGAAAUACCGGUAGCAAUACUGGUAUGGAGGUGGCGCACGGGUGAGUAACACGUAGGUAAUCUGCCUUCAGGUCUGACAUAACCCAUCGAAAGGUGAGCUAAUAUCAGAUGAUGCAGCGGCUUGACAUCAAGACAGUUGUUAAAGCUUCGGCGCUUGAAGAUGAGCCUGCGUC